AUGAGCGGAAGCGAUUGAAGAUCGAAUUCAUCCAAAUACUUGUAAUAUGUAAUUUUUAUCUUGCAUUUCUUUUGAAUAAUAUGAGUAGCUAAACACCUUAAUGCUAGGGGGUGUCCCUGAUUUAGAAUUGUAAUGAAUUUGAGUAUACUUUUGCAUUUACAAUAUUAUUCUUACGGUAACCUUUUGACGUGUUUAAUGCUU
rnacentral:lncRNA from 1 species